UGAACCUGCGGAAGGAUCAUUAC
rnacentral:rRNA from 6 species